rnacentral:rRNA from 1 species
UACGGAGGGAGCUAGCGUUGUUCGGAACUACUGGGCGUAAAGCGCACGUAGGCGGCGCCGUAAGUCAGGGGUGAAAUCCCGGGGCUCAACCCCGGAACUGCCCUUGAAACUGCAGUGCUAGAAUCUUGGAGAGGCGAGUGGAAUUCCGAGUGUAGAGGUGAAAUUCGUAGAUAUUCGGAAGAACACCAGUGGCGAAGGCGACUCGCUGGACAAGUAUUGACGCUGAGGUGCGAAAGCGUGGGGAGCAAACAGG